rnacentral:rRNA from 1 species
GACGAACGCUGGCGGCGUGCUUAACACAUGCAAGUCGAACGGUAAGGCCCUUCGGGGUACACGAGUGGCGAACGGGUGAGUAACACGUGGGUGAUCUGCCCUGCACUUCGGGAUAAGCCUGGGAAACUGGGUCUAAUACCGGAUAGGACCACUGCCUGCAUGGGUGGGGGUGGAAAGCUUUUGCGGUGUGGGAUGGGCCCGCGGCCUAUCAGCUUGUUGGUGGGGUGAUGGCCUACCAAGGCGACGACGGGUAGCCGGCCUAAGAGGGUGACCGGUCACACUGGGACUGAGAUACGGCCCAGACUCCUACGGGAGGCAGCAGUGGGGAAUAUUGCACAAUGGGCGCAAGCCUGAUGCAGCGACGCCGCGUGAGGGAUGACGGCCUUCGGGUUGUAAACCUCUUUCAGCUAUGACGAAGCGCAAGUGACGGUAGUAGCAGAAGAAGGACCGGCCAACUACGUGCCAGCCGCCGCUGUAA